CGGUAAAUACCCAAGGUCCUCCCCGCUCCACUCCAUUGGAUGCACAUUCUUAGCUUAGGCUUCCAUGUUUUUCAGGGCUGCACCUUUUCCAUGGUGGAGCAAGCACCAGGAUGAUGGAAGAUGAGGAAUAAGAGUUUUUGCACGUGACAUAUUCGAUGAAAUGUAGUGCAGUGAAGUAAGGUCCCGCUACAUCAUCGAACUGUUGCAGUGCUGGGGUGUGAAAUUGGACCCAAUAGUGACUACAAGGAUUUCUUCUCCAAAAUAAUUAUCUAGAUCACACUUCAGCCGCUUCAAUCAACACCACCACAUUCUGCAUAUCCAUUCCAGUUGAGGCCUCAUUGAAAGUCUAAAAGGUUCUCUCUUGUAUUUAGUUGGGCUUCCCUUUCAUGUACCUUAUAAGGUAGGUUUUUGUGUCAUGGGAGCGUAUUAUAUAGGAUGAGAAAAUCUAUACCGCGGUUUUCAUAUGGAGCCAGUACUCUUGCUAAUUGUUAAGGUAAAUUGAUCGCUUACUCUUCCUUACAAAACUGACCAUAGCUUCUUGUUGUAAUCUGUCGAUUGCACCAUUAUAGCUUCAGUAGUUACCAUCCAAAAUAAAUAACAUGAUCAGUGUACACACGUCAUUAGCUUUCUAUGAUAGCAAAAUUUUGAAUUGUGCCAUUUAUUUUUAGAUGUCAUAGUUUUCAGAGUAGAAGAAUAUGCUUCAGUGCUAAUAUGCUCAUUUGCAAAUUUCAGUUCAUCUGCAUGUACUCAAGUCAUUGCCCUGCUUCAGAGCUGGUAUCUUACGCAACCGAAUAUGGAUUUUUUGUGAGCUGCACAUGCUCUUCUUGAGUUGGUUCUUUGGCAGGUAUGUCGCUUUUUAUGGGUUUUUGUCAGAUUUUGUUGUGAUCAUCAUUUAGAGGUGUACGGCUCAUAUCGGCUAGCUAGCAAAUCAUCUGAUUUGUUAUUUUCUUGACAUUUGUCGGGUGACUCGUAUGACUCCAGUACAAGGGUAAUCGUACAUAGGUGUCUUUAGUCUUUAUGUUCCAUGUAUGCAACUGAUGGUCUGCAUCUCCUAUUGCCACGGGAAAAAUAAAUAAAAGGGUGGCUCCAUUGUUGCUUUUGGUAUAAGUUAUCCUCUGCAUUUGAAAGUGCCUUCAAGAUGGUGUUGGCUGCUAGGAAGGGCCUAUAUAUGGAGAGUGUUUAACCAAGGUAAGAGGGCAUGGUUUUGGUGAGGUUUAACUCGGCUCAAAAUACAUUUCUGGUUUGGUCUAGCCUCCUUUCUUGUAAGGAGAAUUUGCAUGAACACAUUUUGGUGAUUCAUUUUCCUUAAUUGUUCUCCUUUGCUUAUAAUCCAGAUAUCUCCAUGUUAUGCUAGGGGCAGCAGUAUUGAAGGACUUUGUGUUUUUCACUAUCUCCCUUUUACCAGCAAGACUUUAUUCUUACAAAUUAUAAUUACAUGGCCCAUUCUUUUCUGGCAGGGGCAUUACAGGGGAGAGAGAGGGAGAGAGAAUUGUGGAUUUAUGGUUUAUCAGGGAGGGAAGUUGAAGAUGAUGGAUCCGGGGAGAUGCAGCCGCUCCUGGCAGGGGCACCGCUAUUCACGUGUGUGUGUGUGUUGCCGCUUCUCACGUCUAGAUGGGAUGUAUGAUUUAGAGAGUAUAGCAUUAUAUUAUGGGACCUUCAUUUCUUGUUCAAAUAUUUUUAUUUAUAUGUUAGGAUCAUGAUAGUUAAUAUAAAAAAUUGUAGAGUAGUUUUUUGUUAUCUAGAUGUUGUAUCGAGAAGCGUCAAGGGGCAAUAAAUUAAGUGGAUUAAUUAUGUAUGGACAAAAAAGAUGACUGAGGACAAGUUAAAUCAACAGGAAAGAGCGGCUAGAGGGAUGUGUGGUGUUUGUAAGAAUAGGGAAAAAAAAGAUGUUUGUAUUUGUGUUGUGAUGA